rnacentral:SRP_RNA from 1 species
GCCNGGCGGUGGUGGCGCACGCCUUUAAUCCCAGCACUUGGGAGGCAGAGGCAGGCGGAUCUCUGUGAGUUUGAGGCCAGCCUGGGCUACCGAGUGAGUUCCAGGAAAGGCGCCAAAGCUACACAGAGAAACCCUGUCUCGAAAAACAAACAAACAAACAAACAAAAGAGUUGCAGGAUUUUAUUUUGUAAUUGAAAAUUUAUUUUUUAUUAUUAUUAUUAUUAUUAUUAUUAUUUGGUUUUUCGAGACAGGGUUUCUCUGUGUAGCUUUGGCGGCGCGCCUUUCCUGGAACUCACUCGGUAGCCCAGGCUGGCCUCGAACUCAAAGAGAUCCGCCUGCCUCUG